rnacentral:rRNA from 1 species
GUCCACGCCGUAAACGGUGGAUGCUGGAUGUGGGGCCCUUUUCCGGGUCCUGUGUCGGAGCUAACGCGUUAAGCAUCCCGCCUGGGGAGUACGGCCGCAAGGCUAAAACUCAAAGAAAUUGACGGGGCCCGCACAAGCGGCGGAGCAUGCGGAUUAAUUCGAUGCAACGCGAAGAACCUUACCUGGGCUUGACAUGUGCCUGACGAUCCCGGAGACGGGGGUUUCCCUUCGGGGCGGGUUCACAGGUGGUGCAUGGUCGUCGU